rnacentral:lncRNA from 1 species
AUCUGAAGGAGGUGUAGGAGGGAGUCAGGCAGGUUUGGGGAGAAGGAAGUUCCAGGCAGAGGGAACAGCCCUGAAAAGUGCCCAAAGUGGAGGUGUGCCUAGUGUCUCCAUACACUAGGAGGAGGUCGGCUGUGCUAGGAGAGUGAAUGAGGGGCAAUACUGAGAGCUGAGGAGAGGGAUGAAAGCAGGCUAGAUGCAGGAGGACCUUUGCAUUGUCUGCUGGGGCCGCCUACCGAAGUUCCACAAACUGAGUGGCUUAAACAACAGAAAAGUACCAAGUUCCGGUGACCAGAAGUCCUUAUAAGGUGCUGUGGGGAUACUGCAGCAGCUCUCUGUCCUUCCAGUGUCUCCAGGGAAGAACAUCUUCCUCUCAAGUGAACAGUGCUUACCGCUUCAAGCAUCCAGUCUCAGCAAUAAGAGGAGCACAUCUCCAAAUUUAUAAUGAAAGACAAGCAAAGUGGGACUUCAUGGCCUUGGCUGGACACCAAGUGAUAGCUAAUUUUUGCAGCAGGGAAGACGAAAUAACAAGUCCCUGGAUUGCAAUUUUGGUUUCUCCUUCUGUUCUCAAACAAAAAAUUGUUUAAAUAAUAAACUCUUGUCUUCAUCAUA